UACGUAGGGACCAAGCGUUGUCCGGAAUUAUUGGGCGUAAAGAGCUCGUAGGCGGCUGUCCACGUCGGAUGUGAAAGCUCGGGGCUCAACCCUGAGAGGCCAUUCGAUACGGGACGGCUAGAGGUAGGUAGGGGAGAUUGGAAUUCCUGGUGUAGCGGUGAAAUGCGCAGAUAUCAGGAGGAACACCGGUGGCGAAGGCGGUUCUCUGGGCAUGUCCUGACGCUGAGGAGCGAAAGCCAGGGGAGCAAACGGG
rnacentral:rRNA from 1 species